AUGGGGACCUUGAAGAACCCGUCCCCAUGGUCCUACGUCCAUGUGUCUCGAGACCUGUCGCAUCCUCGCUGAAACUCAAGAAUGUGAAACAGAGUCCAGCUCUCCCACGGGUGGCUGUGAUCCUUCUUCCUGGGGAGUCCUGCUGUCCCUGACUAGGGGCACCUGCCCACCUGUCAGCUGCUCCUCCCUCGGCUGGUCCUCCUGGGCUCUGAUGGCCCCAACAUUUCUAGCUCUUCUCACCCAUAGUGCCCCGAGCUUCAUGCAGCUGCAGCAGAAGGACGUCCCGACCUGCAGACUGGAAAGCCCCCAGAGCUCCCGGCAGGACGUAUGAGGGCCAGCCCACAACCGGGUCUGUCCUGAUAUAACUGAACGCCACAGUGUCUUAGCUCCUUUACUGUUGCUAUCAAGAAAUACCUGAGGCUGGGAAAUUUAUGAAGAAUCAUGAG